AACGAACGCUGGCGGCAUGCCUAACACAUGCAAGUCGAACGAGACCUUCGGGUCUAGUGGCGCGCGGGUGCGUAACGCGUGGGAACCUGCCUUUAGGUUCGGAAUAACUCAGAGAAAUUUGAGCUAAUACCGGAUGAUGUCUUCGGACCAAAGAUUUAUCGCCUUUAGAUGGGCCCGCGUUGGAUUAGCUAGUUGGUGGGGUAAAGGCCUACCAAGGCGACGAUCCAUAGCUGGUCUGAGAGGAUGAUCAGCCACACUGGGACUGAGACACGGCCCAGACUCCGACGGGAGGCAGCAGUGGGGAAUAUUGGACAAUGGGCGAAAGCCUGAUCCAGCAAUGCCGCGUGAGUGAUGAAGGCCUUAGGGUUGUAAAGCUCUUUUACCCGAGAUGAGAAUGACAGUAUCGGGAGAAUAAGCUCCGGCUAACUCCGUG
rnacentral:rRNA from 1 species